rfam:Camelus ferus unplaced genomic scaffold scaffold1984, whole genome shotgun sequence.
GAGGGUGUAGCUCAGUGGUAGAGCACAUGCUUGGCAAGCACAAGGCCAUGGGUUCGAUCCCCAGUACCUCCA